AGUGAACGCUGGCGGUAGGCCUAACACAUGCAAGUCGAACGGCAGCACAGUAAGAGCUUGCUCUUACGGGUGGCGAGUGGCGGACGGGUGAGGAAUACAUCGGAAUCUACUUUUUCGUGGGGGAUAACGUAGGGAAACUUACGCUAAUACCGCAUACGACCUACGGGUGAAAGCAGGGGAUCUUCGGACCUUGCGCGAUUGAAUGAGCCGAUGUCGGAUUAGCUAGUUGGCGGGGUAAAGGCCCACCAAGGCGACGAUCCGUAGCUGGUCUGAGAGGAUGAUCCGCCACACUGGAACUGAGACACGGUCCAGACUCCUACGGGAGGGAGCAGUGGGGAAUAUUGGACAAUGGGCGCAAGCCUGAUCCAGCCAUACCGCGUGGGUGAAGAAGGCCCUCGGGUUGUAAAGCCCUUUUGUUGGGAAAGAAAAGCAGCAGGUUAAUACCCCGCUGUUCUGACGGUACCCAAAGAAUAAGCACCGGCUAACUUCGUG
rnacentral:rRNA from 1 species